rnacentral:lncRNA from 1 species
UGAACCUAGGUGAAAAGUCUAAACAUGUUCAUGGUGUUAUUCUUUCAUCAUUCCUGUGGGUUUGAAGUGCUUCAAAACAAGGCAUUGGAGAAAGUAUAGCAGUGAACAGACUCACAAUUGGCCUCCUUGUUGAGGUGGCUUUCCAGGGACUACAGUCACAUUUGCCAGCAAAGGACCCUGACAUUCAAGGGCUAUUGUUUGAUUUUGUGUUACUAGCAACAGACUUCCUGGGACUUUGUGAAGGAAGGAGCUGGACUAGUAGGGGCUGCUUUUCAAGCAGAUUCCAAGUGUACGAGAUUCUGAGCUGGCUGAUGACGAUGGCAGGCAUUAAAGGGUGGACAGGUUCCAGUUUGUCUGGUGUUGAGAAAAAAAUAUGCCCUAUAUCUUAGACAGCCGUGAUAAGGUGCCUCCAUGGAUAUGAGUAAUGGUCAGACCCAGGGGAUGGACAGGCCUAAGAAGUCUGGACAACGGAAAGCCUGGAGCACCGCGACAAGGAAAUUCUUCCCCUGAAUUGCCUUUUCCUAUUGAGAUAAGAUAAUGCACAAUAAAGCGUGGGGCUACAGAGAAGUGCUGCCACCACCCACAGCGAGCAGCCUUUGCACAGGCCCAGUGGAGGAGGCACGUAGCCUCCAGGGGGCUGAAGCUGGCCUGCUACCCACGGGAUAGAACCAUUGACCUUAGAUCCUGAGGCAGGUCGUGACUCCCAACACUCACCAGCUGUGGAACUCUGAUUCCCAUUAUUCUUUUUUUUUUUCUUCUUUUUCUUAGUUAUGGUGCUGGGGAUGGAACCCAGUGCCUUGUGCACGCUAAACACAUUCUAUACUCCAGUCACCAGCCACACCACCAGUGCCGGAGUCCCUUUAUUCUUUUAAAAAAAAAGACUACAUGUGUGUGUCUCUAUAUAUGUAUAUAUACCCCUCUUCUACCUUACUGAAUGGUUGCAAAAAGUGAUAAUAAAUCAUGAAAGGACUUUGUCAACUCCUAA